UUGUUUUUAAACCAUUGAUUUAUCUCUAUCAACAUAAUCACACACAAUAUUGUAGUAACAAGAUGUUGUAAUCUUUAUUUGCUGGAAAAUGACAAUCAGUCAAGUUUGUGUUUUAAGCACAUCUGACACAUCCCUAAACCUGAAAUGUAAAGCAGAACGUGCUCCACUUGCAGGUUAUUGUAAAAUAUGAAGCUUGUGUUGGGGAGGAUUCAGUGUCUGUUGAGGCACAUGUGAAUGUGUUAUAAAGUGAGUAUCAGAAACACAUCCAGACACUUCGACUGUCAAAGACCACACGACAGGAACAUUCUCCUGGAGACGUUGAGAAAGCACGGAAGGAAUGUCUGAGGAGGAUGUACUCAAAAAAUACACAUACUUAAGGACACCUGCUGGAGGGGACCCGGAUACACCUUUCCUACCAUACACCUGAUGGAUACUGACUGUAAAAUGGCAAUCAUAGUUCGAGGGCUCAGUGUGGUGACAGAAGAUGGAAUAGAUGUGUGUCAGUGCACCAGCCUUGAUGAAGCCUUUAUAACAGCCUUGUGGAUGUAUUUUGCUUUCAACAUUGCAUAUCCACCACACCUGAGAAAGACACUGACUUUCCUUCAGAGGCACAUUGUCAACUUUAGAAGAUGGAGACAAGCACUGUCAGUAACUUUACUCUGAAUGAUUAGUCUCUUGUAUUAGAUCCUCAUGCCUUGACUGUACCAUUGCCCAAAGUUCACUCGAAGGACAUUCACUCUUUUGAAGUUAAUCCAACAUGUUGGAGUGGUACAUGCACAUUAACCCACUAGCUUGCUCUAUUCUUUUUCUAUUCUAUCUGUUUUCUUUUUAUUUAUUAUAUUAUUUAAAAGCCCUUGCUACGUGUACUGUGUUAAGCUAACUGAGACUUGUUAUAGCUCUUACCUAUCAUUGCUCUUUUUGUUGUUUUUGAUUGCUUCAACUCUGUCCUCAUUUGUAAGUCAAUUUGAAUAAAAGCGUCUGCUAAAUGAAUAAAUGUAAAUGUAAAUAUUAGUAUAACCUGUGGUAUAGAUGAGUGCCAGUCAACUUUUUUCUGAUUCCAUUCUUUUAGAAACCAUGCACAGGAAGCAUAUGUACUUUUGGUACUCAGUGAAGAGUCAGCGGUACAGUUGU